AGAUAAGGAGCUUGCUCCUUUGACGUUAGCGGCGGACGGGUGAGUAACACGUGGGUAACCUACCUAUAAGACUGGGACAACUUCGGGAAACCGGAGCUAAUACCGGAUAAUAUGUUGAACCGCAUGGUUCAAUAGUGAAAGAUGGUUUUGCUAUCACUUAUAGAUGGACCCGCGCCGUAUUAGCUAGUUGGUGAGGUAACGGCUCACCAAGGCAACGAUACGUAGCCGACCUGAGAGGGUGAUCGGCCACACUGGAACUGAGACACGGUCCAGACUCCUACGGGAGGCAGCAGUAGGGAAUCUUCCGCAAUGGGCGAAAGCCUGACGGAGCAACGCCGCGUGAGUGAUGAAGGUCUUAGGAUCGUAAAACUCUGUUAUUAGGGAAGAACAAACGUGUAAGUAACUGUGCACGUCUUGACGGUACCUAAUCAGAAAGCCACGGCUAACUACGUGCCAGCAGCCGCGGUAAUACGUAGGUGGCAAGCGUUAUCCGGAAUUAUUGGGCGUAAAGCGCGCGUAGGCGGUUUUUUAAGUCUGAUGUGAAAGCCCACGGCUCAACCGUGGAGGGUCAUUGGAAACUGGAAAACUUGAGUGCGAGAAGAGGAAAGUGGAAUUCCAUGUGUAGCGGUGAAAUGCGCAGAGAUAUGGAGGAACACCAGUGGCGAAGGCGACUUUCUGGUCUGUAACUGACGCUGAUGUGCGAAAGCGUGGGGAUCAAACAGGAUUAGAUACCCUGGUAGUCCACGCCGUAAACGAUGAGUGCUAAGUGUUAGGGGGUUUCCGCCCCUUAGUGCUGCAGCUAACGCAUUAAGCACUCCGCCUGGGGAUACACCGCAAGUG
rnacentral:rRNA from 1 species